rnacentral:rRNA from 1 species
UACGGAGGGUGCAAACGUUGCUCGGAAUCAUUGGGCGUAAAGCGCACGUAGGCGGUCCAGCAAGUCGGGUGUGAAAGCCCUCGGCUUAACCGGGGAAGUGCAUUCGAAACUACUGGACUUGAGUACUGAAGAGGAUCGCGGAAUUCCCGGUGUAGAGGUGAAAUUCGUAGAUAUCGGGAGGAACACCAGUGGCGAAGGCGGCGAUCUGGGCAGAUACUGACGCUGAGGCACGAAAGCGUGGGUAGCAAACAGG